rnacentral:rRNA from 1 species
UACGUAGGGUGCAAGCGUUGUCCGGAAUUAUUGGGCGUAAAGAGCUCGUAGGCGGUUCGUCGCGUCGGCUGUGAAAACCCGGAGCUCAACUCCGGGCCUGCAGUCGAUACGGGCGGACUCGAGUUCGGCAGGGGAGACUGGAAUUCCUGGUGUAGCGGUGGAAUGCGCAGAUAUCAGGAGGAACACCGAUGGCGAAGGCAGGUCUCUGGGCCACUACUGACGCUGAGAAGCGAAAGCAUGGGGAGCGAACAGG